rnacentral:tRNA from 1 species
GGGCUGUUAGUAAAACCAUUACAUAGUCUUGUCAAGACUAAAUCACAGGUGAAAACCCAGUACACCCCAUCCUCCU